rnacentral:misc_RNA from 1 species
GAGGACUACUGGGGUAUCUAAUCCUGUUUGAUCCCCACGCUUUCGUGCCUCAGUGUCAAUGCAAGCUUAGUGAACUGCCUUCGCAAUCGGUGUUCUAUUACAUAUCUAAGCAUUUCACCGCUACAUGUAAUAUUCCAUCCACCUCAACUUGAUUCAAGUCCGUCAGUAUCAAUGGCAAUUCUGGAGUUGAGCUCCAGGCUUUCACCGCUGACUUAACAGACCACCUACGCACCCUUUAAACCCAGUGAAUCCGGAUAACGCUUGCACCCUCCGUAUUACCGCGGCUGCUGGCAC